CUCGCCGCGGGCACGGGGACCCUCGCAGCUCGGGUCCCUUCUCUGCAGGUGCAGCGGACCGUCUGGACCCGCGUACGCCGAGGCCCCGCCCACCCUCGGUCCCCAUUCGCUGAGCGCAGAUGAUUGACGCGGCCCGAGCCGAAUGAGCGCCAGACCCGCCCGGUGCGGUCCCAGCCCCUCCCAUCUCUUGGGGCGGCUCUAGCAGCCCGCUGAGCCGCCCGCGGUUGCAGGAAUUAGGCCAGUUUGGACCCACAAAACCUGGCAAUUUAAUACGGUUCGACCGAAUACCCCCACAGAAAAUGGUCCUCGGUGUCCGUGGCGUUUAGAAUUUAACAGCUUCUGCCAACACGGCCGUAUCCGUGUCCGCGGGCGCAGAAGCGCGUGCCGUGGCCCCGGCUGGCACCUGACGCAUCAGUCGCACGCACUGUUUUCGCUCCUUUAACGGUUGAAAAGCGGACAGUGUCUCGAUGGUGUUUCAGUCUGCAUCGUCCAUCUGUCCAGUGAAGCUGAGCAGGUUCCGGAGCUCACAUCCUCUGCCGUUUGGAAUUACCAUGCAGAUGGUAGGGCUAGAGGACCUGGGCUCUCACCCUGAACCAAAGACAACCCUAACCCUAACCCUAACCCUAACCCUAACCCUAACCCUAACCCUAACCCUAACCUGUGUGCCUGUGGGUAAGCUCCUUAACUCUUCUGCCCCACUCCAGUCAGUGAUAGGAAAUGGUAACUGUGCUUCCCACAGAAGGUUACAGAGAAAAUGAAACAAAACAAAACGUAGGACAGGCAGCACCUAGCAUUAGGUGACCGCCUUGUAACUGUCACCCAUCGUCAUCUCUAACUGCAUUUGUGGUGUCAACUGCUGUUGCACGGAAGAGUGUAGCCUCUGUGGACUCAAGCCUAUCACUCUUCCUCUGGACGGGGUGGUUUGUCUUCUUAAGGUGUAUCUUCUCUCCCCGAAGGUUGUAGAAAUAUUUCCCUGAAUCCUCUAAUAGUUUUAUGAGGUUUGGGGCAGGGAUCCCUUAUAGAUAUAAACAGCUUCACCCCGAAGACUCCCUGAGAUGGAGAAACCUGCCCUAGGGGGAAGGCACCCUCACACAGGUGCAUGCCUCGGCUCCUGGCAGCUCCAGAUUCGGUGGCUUGGGAGAAAAAAUGGAAGGAGUGAAGGAGCAGGGGGUGAACAGGAGGGCUCUACAGGCAGCUGCCAGGACUCAAAUCCCACCUGCGGGACCUUCAGCAAGCCCACAGCCUCUCUGUGGCUCAGCUGAGCCACACCCUCUCCGUCAGGGGCUUCCUGCAUUCUGUGCUCUGUGGACAAACAGCACCGUGGGGCUCGGGUCUUACAUAAGGCCUUACACCAGGACUGGGGAAGCAUCUCACUUAUGGGAGCCUCGUGGUGACAACCCAGCUCACUAAGCAGGGGGAGCAUCAGGGAAGAUGGAUAGUGACUCAACGGCCAUCAUCUGUUUAAUCUAGAAGGUUGUGGGGACUGAGCCCAGAGGGUCUCGCUUUGGCUCCUCAAAGGUCGGCACCUGCUGCUGGCCUCUGCCUCGAGACAAGAGCAGUUGGAAAACACACGUGGUCUAAAGCCAAGGUCUGCUGGCUCUUUGCCCCAGGGCCUUAAGAGAGAAGCUUCUCGAAAUACGUACCCUUACACGUGUGUUCAGCUGACAUUUAAAACACCCUUGUCAUAAGUUUAAAUAGUUGCAAAGGAUGUGAUUUCCAUCACUAUUGUAUUUUUUUACUAUAUUUUCAUCCAAAUCCUUGGGGCUGCGGGUCACGUUGGGAAAUGUGAUGUGAUCACUGACCCCAUCUCAUCCCUGACGGGAAAAGGCUGCUAUCUCCACACAUUGGCUCUAAAGGGCAAAACCAGUCCUUAUUUGCCAGAUCAAGCCAACAAAUCAGGCUGACUGCCUGUCAGAAAGAUGUUAAAAUGCUGGCUUCAUCUUUGCUAAUUGAAAUAAAUGUGUUGACACCCAUC